UCAAUCACUCAAGUGUUUCAGGAGGUCACUCUUCUCUCUACUAUUCACCUGUCACAUGAAACAAAAUUGAUAUUCAUCUGAUACAAUCAACAUCUUUACACAUAAAUGUCACUCAUUGGUUUUUAAGAUCACAAAAUCCUUGAGUUAAGAGAGCUAUUCAUAUAAUCAUAAUUCAAGCACAAACUCUCUUUUUACCAAUCUCACUCAUUCCCAACUUUCACCUUUUUCUUCUCUUUUACAUUGAGCUCACCUGUCAUGCUUUUUCUUUUCUUUUCUUUCUUUUCUCAUGCUUUUUCCAUUCAACACUUGAGCUCAAUGCCUUUCUUUUGCCUUUCAAUUUCCCCCAACAACCCCAAACUUGAACCUUUAUCAACAUCACAAAAUAUUUCUCAACCUAAGUCAAGGUAAAGACUUUCAAAACAAGGGUUUUCAUCCUGUUUAAGGCUUAGGUUCAAAAAGGGUAGAACAUCAAAUGUUCCUUUUACUUUGGGC
rnacentral:lncRNA from 1 species